AACAACAUCGAUAUUCAAAGAAUGUGAAUUUAACACACCAAGAUGGCUGUACGACGAAAACAGUUUUGAGUCCCUAUCGAAUUGGAACAAAUUCUGUGGAUGUUUUUGCACUAUGGUGAUAGUUACUGGUUGGAUGCAAAAUGUGGGGCCCUACCCAAAUAGCCGGGAUAUCAUAACGACUCCUCCUAAAAUGGCUGCACGGGCUGUUCUGAUCUGUAGGCCAAAUUCUCAUCCAUUCCAGGAACGCUCGCUGGUUCUUGACCAGCCAGUGAAAAUUGGUCGAUCAGUUGCAAGAGCCCGCGCAGCCCAAAACAAUGCAAUCUUUGAUUGCAAGGUGUUGUCCAGAAAUCAUGCGCUGUUGUGGUAUGAAAAUGGAAAGUUUUACCUGCAAGACACAAAAAGUAGCAACGGGACUUUUGUCAAUAACCAACGUUUAAGUAAGAGUGCUGAUGAAUCUCCACCCCGUGAAGUUUGUUCUGGUGACAUUGUACAGUUUGGUGUUGAUGUGAUGGAGAAUGCCCGUAAGGUGACGCACGGCUGUAUAGUAGCUACAUUGAAACUCUACUUGCCCGAUGGGAAGGAAGCGAAGGCAAGUUCCUCAACAUCAGUCGUGAGCUCUAUUGGAGUGGUUCCACUUGAAGAUCUGUACCAGCUCAACCAGUACUUACAGGAUGCUUUGCAACGUGAACAGUUGCUUGAAAACAAACUUGCCACUAUGCAGAGGCUCAUGGAGACAACGCGACAAGCAUCAGACAGAAGCUGGAGAGCAUUGAUUGAUGAAGACAGGUUACUCUCACGUGUGGAAAUACUGGAGAGUCAGUUGCUUGUAUACUCAAAGAAUUACGGAGAAGAUAAACUUCGAGAAGAGCUACGAAAACUGCAAGAAGAUAAAAGUCAGUACCUUGGUACAGCCAAAGAAUCAUUACGAAGGAUUCUUCAGGAGAAAUUAGAUGCAAUUACUAAAUUAGCUGAUCUGGAAAGAACUCUGAGUAACACUGAAGAUGAAGUUGACCAUUUGAAGGAUAUGCGAGAAAGGAGCCAACAGGAACUUCAGGAGCUAGCUCACAAAUACACUACCCAACUUCAGAAGGUCGAAGACUUGGCAUCCAAAUUGCAGGAGACCGAAGAACAACACCGUGAAAUAUGUGAGCGGCUAGAGCAAGAGAAACGAGAGUUGUCUGCCCAAGUGGAAGACCAGUUGUACUCGGAGGCAGCACUCCAAGCAAGGCUUGAUGCUGUUACUAAAGACAGUGAUCUUAUAUCGCAGCGACAACGUGCAUUGCUUCAAACAUGUCUUAACAACAGUCAUUCAAUCCUUGAUAUGAAAGAGAACUCUGAGACAAUGAAGGAGACUGAUUCCACUGGUACGCAGGUAGACCUGAUUUUAGAAAAGAUAGUUCCUGAUCGACAGACACAAGAUUAUUUGAAAGAUGCAGCAGAUAAUAUAAAAUUUCAGCUACAAAAGACAGAAGAUGCUUUACAAGAAAGUCAUGCUGAAGUGCGCCAGCUGUAUGUUAAACUGGAAGAUGCACGUACUCAAGAAGACUCACUGUUAGAUAACGUUCACCAACUGGAAGAAAAUUUAGCAGCUCUAAGGAAACAAGUUGACAAAACUCCUCAUGAUAACUCUCAGACAAUUGCCCAGGUGAAUGCUAAUCAGAACAACAAAUUAAAAGCCGAAGUAAUUAAACUUGAAGAACUGCUGAGUGAAGCACGGAAUAAAGCACAGUCUGCUGAGGAACAAGUAUUACUGUAUCAGAAGGAACUUGAAAAUGUUCAGCAGAAAGUAAAGAGCUUAACGGAAGAGGCGACUAUUCUUCAGCAGCAACAUCAGGUGUAUCAGUUCAUGGCUGAAAAUAAAUCUGACACUGUGGGAAAGUUACAUGAAACUAUAAAGCGACUGACAUUUGCAAGAGAUCAGCUGCAACUGGAAGUUCAUAAACUGGAGGAAAAGCUCCAAGUGGAAGUAGCAGCUUCUCGUCAUCAUAGUGAUGAGUCAGAGCGCUUGCGAAAGCAACUUGUGGAAGUGCAGCAGUGUGUGAAGCAAGGACAUAAUGAGGCAGAAAAAAUGAAGGAUAGGCUGAAUGCUCUUCAGGCUGAAUUAGAUGCACGUAUAAAUAGUGCAGAACUAAUGUCUGACAAUAAAGAUAAAGAGGAGGUUCAGCAGCUAUCCAACCGAUGCAUGAUCCUGGAAGCUGAAAAUCUCAGGUUAAGAGCAGAGUGUGUGAAGUUGAACAAACAGUACAGUGACCAGCUUCAAAUUCAGGAAGAAUUGGAAGCACUGAAAUCACAUUUGUCAAGUCAUCCUAUUGGUAACUCCUUAGAAGAAGUGGAUGAACUUAAGAACCAGAGGUCAAAAAUGACUGAGAAGGUGAAUUGUCUUGAGGAAGAACUUGUGCUUGUGAAAGAGAGGUAUGCAAAAUGCAAUGAUGAACAAACUCGUCUGAUAAAAGAACUUGAAAUACUGAAACAAGACAGUGGUAGUUUGCUUAAUCAGACAUAUGCUGUGCCUGUUCACUUAUUUGUUUCCAUGGCCUUCGCUGUUAUGGCUAUUGUGAUGGUCAUUAACCAGUUGGUGUGACCACAGUUAUUAGACCCUUCAUCCUAUCCUAAAUAAUCCAUUAUCUUUAUCACCAUUACAGCAAUACUCUAGGCCAGCUUCUAGCUUAAGUCUGCCAGUCCACAUUGAAGGCUUUGUGGUGUGGAUUGGUACCAUUCAUCAUAGUGUUCCUGGGAAUUAUUAUGGCGUUCUAUCCCACAUUGUCUUUCUUCAUGGGUACAGCUGAUUCGCCACUUCAACCAUAGUAAAGAUGUACAAGAAC
rnacentral:misc_RNA from 1 species